CUCGCUCGCACACCUUCCCUUCCUCAUCCGUCUCAAAGUUGUGAUCUUCCUCUUUUUCUUUUUUCUAGGUGUCUUAAUUACUCUGAGGAAGUGGCGUUCUGGCUGGCGGUCAGCUGCUGCGACGGGUCCAUUUGCAUGUCUGUGUAGUGAGAGGUUGGCAGCGAAUCCUCCCGUCCAGAUUGCGGCCCCUCUCCGCGGUGAGACCGCCUUGGAGGAGACUGCGUUGUGGGAUUAGGGUUUUAGCAGCGAAGGUCCCCGGAGACGCUCACGCUGGGCCGCUGUCCGUGAUGCAUUAAUCAUGUCCGAAUCCUCAAGACAAAGGGCCACACGUUUCUCGUCUGCAUGUGAAAUGAUGCGACGCGGGCCUGCCACGAGGUUAAACUCUCAAACGUGCUCUUUGAUGGGCUUUAAUGAGAUGUCAGCGUCCAGACAGAUUUCUCUGCUGUCCGGUAAAAACAGGCCACAGAGCACGAAGC
ensembl:lncRNA